AUCUGAUACUCUCUGAAAGUUAAACAAGCCAUUCAGGAAAAUGGGAUUGAGUUAUGACAAGCUGAACAGAAGCCCUGAAAGGUCAUGGGCUCAUUUCUUCAUUUAUGGCUGUUGAAAACUGGGGAAGUGCCUGUUACAAAAAUGACUGACCCUGCCAGGCAGCUAUGACAAGCCAAGAUCCAAGCUGGACCCACAGAUUGGGCAUUUACGCGGAGCAAUAAAGCGCCAUUUUGGAAGCAGGGAGUAGACUGUGUCACCAGACCCCAGACCUGCCAGUGGCUCGAUCUUGGAUUUCUUGG